GAUGAACGCUGGCGGCGUGCCUAAUACAUGCCAGUCGAGCGAACAGACGAGGAGCUUGCUCCUCUGACGUUAGCGGCGGACGGGUGAGUAACACGUGGAUAACCUACCUAUAAGACUGGGAUAACUUCGGGAAACCGGAGCUAAUACCGGAUAAUAUAUUGAACCGCAUGGUUCAAUAGUGAAAGACGGUCUUGCUGUCACUUAUAGAUGGAUCCGCGCCGCAUUAGCUAGUUGGUAAGGUAACGGCUUACCAAGGCGACGAUGCGUAGCCGACCUGAGAGGGUGAUCGGCCACACUGGAACUGAGACACGGUCCAGACUCCUACGGGAGGCAGCAGUAGGGAAUCUUCCGCAAUGGGCGAAAGCCUGACGGAGCAACGCCGCGUGAGUGAUGAAGGUCUUCGGAUCGUAAAACUCUGUUAUUAGGGAAGAACAAAUGUGUAAGUAACUAUGCACGUCUUGACGGUACCUAAUCAGAAAGCCACGGCUAACUACGUG
rnacentral:rRNA from 1 species